UACCCGUUCCGCUAUGGCUUC
rnacentral:misc_RNA from 1 species